rnacentral:lncRNA from 1 species
ACAUGGUUGUGCAUUCAUGCUGGAAUUAAUUAAUUUAUUUACUUGCUUGUUUGCUUUUUGUCUAUGUAUUUUGUUUAUCUCCAAAAGGAUUUAAAAUCUCUUUUCAAAAAGACUUUAGAAAACAAAGGAGAAAUAGGAAAAAGAAAACAGAAAAGAAAAAGAAAAAAAAGGGAAAGGCAAACCCAGCCAGACCCACCCCCGGCCUGUUUCUUUCCCCCCCGCACGCGGCCCACUUCCAACUCCCCCGGCCUGCUAAGCGCGGCCCACCAAGCCAGGCCCGCGCGCGCCUUUCCUCUCUCUCUCUCUAGCGCUCGGGCCCCACCUGUCAGCGCGCGCUGUUCCUCUUCUUCACCGUGAUGGAGCCGGUUUCCUCCACCGAAUCCUCCUCUAUCCCGAUUUGUGCGGGAUUUGUCUUCCUUGACCUCCUAUAAAGCAUCU